AUUUUUAAAUUCAAAAAUGUGGAUCUCAAAUAAUAAACUUGCACAAUGGGAAUAUCAAUCUACUACAAAAGAUGUAAAAAAGGAUAAAAUUCUAAAAAUUAGAUUGCUGCAUGCAAUAGAUUCUUCAAUUAUGUGUAAAAUUUAUAAUCAAGCUGCAAAUAUUUUUUAUAAUUUGCAAAAAAUUAAUCAUUUGGAAAACAAAAUAAAUACCAAUAUUUUGGUGACUCAUAGUCUUAAAUAUAGAGCUAUAAUUAAAUCUGCAAUUUUAGAAUUACAAGAAUCAG